AAUCGCGAUCGUUUCAUCGUGGCGAGCCAUGAAGGGUAUCUAGGCGUAUAACACAUGCAAGUUUUCCGAUUCAUUAAGGUGAGUAGGAGCCAAAUGGUCAGCAGUGCUGUAAUUAUGCGCAAUGGCCUCUAUAGUGCAGGGAUAAUCAUCAUAAAUAGUAUAAUAAAUUUAUCAUUAUUUUGAUGUUAGAUUUAGUUAAUAUUUAUUUAUGGUGCAAAGGUAAUCCACCAUUUUGACGCAAAUUCAGCCCCUACCAGCUAUGAGGUUACUUAGGCUAUGACGGGAAGGGGAUAGUGAUAGCUAUGUAUCCGACACUGGCCGGCCAGAGCACCCAUGUGCGCAGCAGUGAAGAAUCCUUGGCAAUGCACCGUAUCUGCCUCUAAUAAGGGCUAGGUGUGACCAGGUGACCUAGAUUGGAUAUCUUAAUAUCCAGAUAUAAUAGAUCAUAUUGAUGCUUAUUAUAUUCAAGACCCGUCCAACCAUCUGUGCCAGCAGUCGCGGUAACACAGACGGGUCAGCUCUUAUGGUGUUGAAUGGGCGUAUAGGGUACGCAGCCAUCUCUAACAGGAUACGAGUCUACAUUUGGUACUACCAACACUGGGGGGAGGGCUGAGAUCCUGUGAUCCCUAGGGGUGGGCAAUGCAAUUGGUGCUGGUGACAGACUGACGGUAAGGUACGAAGGCUGGGAUACCGACACAGAGUAGAGCCUGUUUAGCCCCAGCAGUGAACCAUAGUUGCCGCAGUGGGGAGUGCGUCUUGGAUAUAUAGUAUUGUAAAUAAUACGUGAGAGCCAAGCACAGUCACAAUUUAACCCCUGGAAGGCUAACGCCUGAGCAACUCGCCUGUAGGGUAUAGUCGCAAGACCGACACACUAACGAUGAGACCGCCGGAGAGCACACGGGUGCGGGGCAUGCUGUUUAAUCAGACGAUACGCUUAAAACCUUACCUUCCCUUGCAUAUUUUACUGUUGGCUCGCUCAUAAUGUUAAUAAUUUUAUAGAGCGAGUCUAGUAUUUUACAGGCGUUGCAUGGCCGUCGUCAGUUCGUGGUCGUGAGCCCUACGGUUGAGUCCAAUGAACGAACGCAGACCCGUCUGUCUAUGAUGUUAAUUUAUUAGUAUAUAGGCAGUAGUAGCCUUAUAAGGGAUACGAGUACGGGCCUAUGUCAGGCCGUCAUGGCCCUUAUGGGAAGGGCUACAGGCGUGCCACAAGUGUGUGUGUNNNNNNNNNNACGUAAAGGUUCAGUAUUUAUAACUACAUUAACAACUUUUUUGAGUUGUUGUUUAUCAUUAAUUAUUAUUCGUGAUUCAAUUUUGUAUGAAUAUGAAUAUAUUAUUUAUAUUUCAGAUUGGAUUAACAGCGGUUUAUUUAAUUGUAAUUGGUGUUUUUUAUUUGAUAGUUUAACAAUGAUAAUGCUGGUCGUAAUAACCAGUAUUUCAACUGUUGUCCACUUGUAUUCAUCGCAAUAUAU
rnacentral:rRNA from 1 species